rnacentral:lncRNA from 1 species
CCGCACCGCACACAGCCACAGUGAGGAGCGGGCUCUGUGCUUCCUCUCCCUGGAGCUUGGUUUGGGGAGGCAGCGAGAGGGUGAGGGUGAAAUGUGGGCUUCACCUGGAUCUCCUUGUGCGGCCCUCAGCUCUCCUGGUCGCCUCGUCUACGAGACUGCAUCACAGUGAGAAGAGAGGUCAGUGGUGAGAGGCGGAGUCGCUGGCUGUCACCGUUUGUGGGAGCCGUCAUUCGUUCACUCCUUAACUCAUAGGAGCCAGUGCCGUCGUGUGCUGGUGCCUCGCGAGACCUGCUGUUGCGGCGGUGACCAGUUUCGCGUGAGCUCGGGAGCCACAUCUGGGAGCAGCCUGACAGCCCUGGCGCCCGCUGCUCUGUCCAGCAAUGGGGAUCAGCACCGCGCCCCCCAGACAGAGGCUUCAUCCUUCCCUGUGUUGGUGGCAUUGAGAGGCAUUCUGUGUGGCAAUGCCAGCUGUCCCUGGGAUGGAGUCCAGGGCUAUCUGGCAGCCAGUCCAAGCACUGGUGUUUCUAACUCUAUUUUCCUCAUCUUUUUCUUCUCCCCCACUUUUUUUUUUUUUGAGACAGUGUCUCACUAUGUAUUUCAGGCCCUGAAUUCACUAUGUAGCCCAGGUUAGACUCAAACUUGCAGUGGUCCUCCUGCCUCUGCCUCCGCACAGUGCUGAGAUUACAGGUGUGCUCCAUCAUUCCCCGCAUGCCCCCCUA